ACUGUCAAUACCCCAAUUGCGAACCAAAAGUGGUGAAACUCUCUUGCUUUCAACACGACGUCAAAACGAAGAACACAUCGAUUCUUCAAAAAACCCUAAUCAUCGGAAGUGAAAGACCAGACGAUAAAAGCUUUCGGCAAAGACAAUUCUGCUGACGAACAACGACGGAAGUAUUUCAGGCGAUUCAAGAAAUCAUCAUUUUGAAGCCAGUUGCUCAUACUAUCCAAGUGCAGCAGAGGAUUCAAUGACUCCAUCAACAUCAUUAGCCAUCAUCAAUGACUCUAAAACUCCCAUUUCUAACAAAGAAGCUUCUUCGAACAGAAAAGAACUUCCAACUCAAAGAAUCUUCAAAGUUAAUCAUGGUGAUCAUCUGUUUGAAACUGGAGUUGGCAAGAAAGCUAUGGUGAAUUUGAGAGCCAACCCUGCAGCAAUGUCAAGAUCAGUCAACUUCCAGGAGACUUCAUGGCUAUGAACAUUGAACAAGCUUCAAUGUCAAUGACUUCGAGUUCUUUCCAAUACAUACCCAUCGAUCAAGAAUGCAAACGGGCGGUUUUGUCAUGAGUUUGGUGGUUGUAUAUAGCCAUGUACAAAUAAACCAGUUGAUUGCUAAUCAUGUUUUCCUGCUUGUUGACCACUA